rnacentral:lncRNA from 1 species
AUGGGUUUUCAAGUUCAUAUUUUGUGUGUUCAUCUUGAUUCUUAUCCAAAAAUCAGAUUUUUGGCUCGAUUUGAUCCUACAAUUUGGUAUCAGAGCUUGGUACUUGAAUUUGGGAUUUAAUAAUCUUCAAGUUCACCAUUAAAAAUCUGAUUUUUGAGUAUCUUUUUGAAGUUUUGAGGUUUUUGGGUUUUAAAAAUUUUCUAUUUUUUUUAUAAAUCUGAUUUGAAAAUCUUUUGAUUUAAUGUUUAGGAUUUAUUAGUAAGGGUUUUGAAACAGUUUGUGUGGGUCUACAAAACAUUUUGACAUUUUGAUUCUGAUUAGUAGGUUUUUGUGCAAGUUUUUUUUGGGUUUUCAAACAGAUCUGGGUAUUUUUUUACAAGAUCUGGGCGUAUUUAUUGUUGAAUACAGCGAUUUUCUUUGAAUAUAGCGAUUUUAUUGAAGAUCCGGCGUACCUAAAAGAAUUCCGGCGAAUUUAAAUCUUGAACGCGAGUUCAAGUCCUCCGGCGUAUUUGGUAAAUACGCCGGUAAGUCGCAUUUUUUCCGGCGCCGUUAUUCCGGCGGUUUUAACCCGACCGGCAUUUUUAUUAAAAAAAAAAAAUAGAAAGAGUAGAAACAGAUCUUUUUUUUUAAGAAAAGAGUAGAAACAGAUUCAAGAAACAAGUUAUCACCAACAUCCACUAAUUUCGCCGUUAACCCCAACACAUUACACAUCUUGACUACACGCCAAGCAAAGUUAUCUUCAGUUGAUUUUUCAAGCAAACGUGGUAAACUUGCCGCAGUCGAACCUCCUUCAUCCAUCACCGUCUUCAUCUUCACCGACCACCUUCGUCGUUCAUUUUCCGCCCACCACCACCGCAUCUUUAAUACCAAGAGACCCUUUUGUUCCACACAUCGGACCACCACCCUCCUACUCGCUACAGUAACCGUCUCGGUACUCUCAACCAACGCCUCAUAUUCCAUCAACGGCGGUGACGUUACUCUCACGCGCCACCGCACACGCCCGAAACCACCGUGUCUACCGUCAACAGGCCACUUUUAUCGUCUGUUUCCAUCUUCACCACCGUACCAUCCAUCAGCCGUAGAGAAAACCUCUGAUUUCGAAGUGGGUCGUGUUGUGUUUCGUGGAAGAAUCGGUGAUAUUGAUUUUAGUGGGUGUGUGUUUGAAGCAUAUUGGGGGAGAUCUGAUCGUUGUUGUUGUUUGAUUUCGAAUAGAGAGAGAUAUAGUGGGUGACGGCUGCUAUUUUAGAAUAUCUAGGGUUUGUGCUUUCAAGAGUGAGUAAAUUGGAGAAGAUGAGUUAAAGUGAGAGAGAGAAACAAAAAGGGUGACAGCUAAGUUGGGAUUGGAUUUUUUAGGGUAUUGGUGGUUUUGUCUUCAACCAUAUUCAAAACUCUAUUUGAUAAAAGAUCUGACGUCCGGAGUGGAUUCCAAAAUUUUCAAAACUUUUGCUUGUAGUUGAAUAUUAAAAGAAAAUUCAAAGCUCUACUUAAUUCUCUGGCUCACAUCCGUUCAUUUAA